GAUUGGGUUGCCUUUCUGAGUUUUCGGCCAGAAGGGUCUCAUAACCCCCAAACUUUACAGGCAAUUGCUGUUGCUCUUGGUUACCCUCCAGACUUGAUAGAGGGUAAGACCCUAUUGCUGAAGACACCACAUAUUAGAAUCAUAGAACAUGGAGAAACCAGGAAGCUCCACCUCUACUGGCUAGCUGGAAGGAGAGAACAUGAUGCCACAGAUGGACAGAAGUGGGGACACUGAAAUCCAUUGACUCUCUUUUCUCAACUCAUUCAGCGGGGCAGGAAGUGAAUCUGAGACUGAAAACCAUCAGCUCUCCAGAUGUCUUCCAGGACUGCAGCACCAUGUGGGACAACUGAGGCUUACAGACUCUUGGAUGGACAACUACCAAAUUCUCAGCCUUUUCAUUAUGGGACAGUCAUUGUUGCACCAGCUUGCCAUAGCCUGUAAGCCAGUCUAAUAAAUACCAUAGAUGGA